UUCCAAUCGAGCUGAACCAAACAAGCCAUGAAAGUGCAGAAUGUCCAGGACCCCGGUCACUCCAUCUUCUGGGCUCAGGCCCUGGCAACCACCAUUCUACUCUCUGUGUCUAUGAGUCCAGCUUUUCUAGAUUCCAGGCACGUGCUGCAGUGAUGAAGGAGGAAGGGAAGUGGAAAGGAGGAAGGAAGAGAUAAGGGAGAGGACCACACUGUCAUUCCAGAGGCGUUUCAUGGCAAUU